GUCAUCAUUGUCAUUGUCACCAUCACCAUAAUCAUCAUAUCACCAUCACAACACCCUCACCACCAUCAUCAUUACCAUCAUGAUCAUCACUGUCACAUCAUCACCAUCAUUACCAUCAUCAUUACCAUCACCAUAACACUCCAUCAACAUCACCACCAUCAUCACCAUCGCCAUUACACUCCAUCAUCAACAUCACCACCAUCACCAUCACCACCACCAUCAUCACCAUCACCAUUACACUCCAUCAACAUCAUUGAGCUGGUC
rnacentral:lncRNA from 1 species